rnacentral:rRNA from 1 species
GAUGAACGCUGGCGGCGUGCUUAAUACAUGCAAGUCGAACGGAAAUUCUUUGCUUUCGUGUGGUUCCCGAGUGCCGUACGGGUUUGUAACACGUAAGUAACCUUCCCUUGACUGCGGGAUACCUUCAGGAAACUGGUGCUAAUUCCGGAUAGGUGCUCCUGCUGCAUGGUGGUGGUUGGCACGUUUCGGCGGUUGGAGAUGGACCCGCGGUAUAUCAGCUUGUUGGUGGGGCAAUGGUUUACCAAGGCUUUGACGGGUAGCCGUCCUGAGAGGGUGAACGGCCACAUUGGGACUGAGAGACGGCGCAGACGCCUACGGGAGGCAGCAGGGGGGAAUAUGACGCAGUGGGCGGAAGCGUGAUGCAGAAACGCCGCGAGCGGGAUGACGGCCUUCGAGUGGUAAACGGCUUUCGCAUGUGACGAAGAGUGAGUGACGGUAAUGGGUAAAGAAGCAACGGCUAACUACGUG